CUCUCACACACACUACACAGGGUUACCCAACCAGUGCUUCGUAACAUUGUGACAGAAAUGCCAAAGAUGUAGUUUUUGAGUAAGGUUACCCUCACACCGGUUCACAAUCAUGUGUUAGUGUGAAGUUUGGAUACAUGUGAGACUGAAUUUGGUCACACUUUAUUUUAAGGUCUAAUUCUCACUCUUAACUAGCUGCUAACUAUGGCUUGUGCCUCAAACUGCUUAUUAACAGUUAGUAAGGUAGUUGUUAAGUUUAGGUAUUAGCUAGAUUAGGGAUGCAGAAUAUGUGCUUUAUAAGUAGUAAACAACCAAUAUGUAAAUAGGCAUGCUGAUAAGCAACUAGUUAAUAGUGAAAAUUGGUCCCCUAUACUAAAGUAUUAAAUGUGCGAUUGCAAAAACCUUCUGCUGAAAUGAUGCUGAACGUUAGUUUUGCAUGUAGUUACCUUAUGUUACGCAUUAUUUUUAGGUACGUGUAAGUACACAUACUGUUAAAUUAAGUGUAACCAAUAGUUUUAUGUAACAUUUAAUCACUACAAAACUACCAACAUGUGAUACUGAAAUGCAUUUUUAUUGAAAGUUUCACACACGUCAGAAGUCUGAGAAUCCUGGUCCUGUAGAGGUUUGGAGCUGCUGUGAGCGGUUCUGCAGUGUUGGUAUUCAGCUCAAGUCAGUUUAAUGUUGAUUCGGUUCAGUUUAUAACCUGUGAAGCAGCUCUACAGAAGACGGUUUUAUCCUCCAGCCUAACUCGGUCCAUGCAGUCAUACUUCAGACCCCAGCUAACGUACUACUGGAACGCUCCAAACUACAUCUACUGAUUUGUCACCACAGAUUCCUGUGAUGGUGGAAAACUUCAGGAUGAAGACUGACUUUGCUGUUGUCUGGUUGUAUUAGUAUUGUUUCCCCACAUACAUCUUAUGGCACUGAUAAGAAUAACGGUGUAAUUUUAAAAGAGUUAGUGGCCCAUCCAUGCAUGCUCUGCGCUGCGUGUGCUGUGUUUGCAGGCUGCAGUGGGAACAGACUGCGGUCACUAAUGUUUGCAGCACGUUUGGGGAAGCUCUCGCAGACACAGAAAAGUCUGGUGCUUCAGCUGGACAGGACACAUUCAUAUUUUUUUGAAAGAUACAGUUCUGUUUAUUAUAUAUUUAAAUCUUUAUAUGGUGUUAAUAUCACUUGUUUACAUUAACAGUUUUAUAAAAAUAGAAAUAUUGCCCAGUCAAUCUGGAACAUGUACAAUGAUAAAUUAUAAACUGUGUCCCUUUAUUCCUUUCAAGAACAGAAAAGUGUUUUUUUGGUGCACAUGUAUGGUUACACAACUGAAAAAUGCAAUGAACAGACAAGGGGCCUCGUUUAUAAAAUGUUGCGCAGAAACCAUCCUAAAUUUGAUCUUGCGAUCAUCUCUCAAAUAUGCGUACGUGUGAUUCAUAAAAUGAAUGUACGCAGCUUUCAGAUGUGAAAUCUAUGAAUUGCAAAUGAUUUUGAACUUGCGCGCCACUGAAUGGUUUCAGCACUCUGCUUGUAAACGACUCCUAAUUAAUGUGACUAACAUAUAAAAGAUCCCCAGUCAUCGUCCAAAUUCUUUAAUUUACAACAGCUUACAUUUCCAAAAACCUGCAGUACUCCGACAAGAACAAGUGUGUGUCUGCUCAGACCUUACGUGACGCACUUUUCCACAUCAAAGACAGUUUUUACUAAUAUGAGCGCUGGCCUGGAUUUACACACACACACACACACACACACACACAGAUCAAAUCUGAGCAACGCACACUUUAUAAAUGAGGCCCUCAGAGUUGAAACGAUUUGUUCUUGUGUUCAUGAAACUGUUGGUGAAGAAUCAGAGCGAUCUGGAAACAUUUUAACUCGAGACCCAAAAGAUGAAGAUACUGUAAUCUACCACACAUCUGUGACCCGGCAGCACUAAAGCAGUCUUAAGCAGCACGGGUAUAUCUGUAGCAAUA